rnacentral:rRNA from 1 species
GACGAACGCUGGCGGCGUGCUUAACACAUGCAAGUCGAGCGGUAAGGCCCUUUCGGGGGUACACGAGCGGCGAACGGGUGAGUAACACGUGGGUGACCUGCCCUCAGCUCUGGGAUAAGCCUGGGAAACCGGGUCUAAUACUGGAUAUGACUCCAUGACGCAUGUUGUGGGGUGGAAAGCCUUGUGCGGCUGAGGAUGGGCCCGCGGCCUAUCAGCUUGUUGGGGGGCGAUGGCCUACCAAGGCGACGACGGGUAGCCGGCCUGAGAGGGCGACCGGCCACACUGGGACUGAGACACGGCCCAGACUCCUACGGGAGGCAGCAGUGGGGAAUCUUGCGCAAUGGGCGAAAGCCUGACGCAGCGACGCCGCGUGAGGGAUGACGGCCUGGUGUAACGU